rnacentral:piRNA from 1 species
UCUUCUGCUAACUGAUGAUGAAUCUUACU